rnacentral:rRNA from 1 species
AUGAACGCUAGCUACAGGCUUAACACAUGCAAGUCGAGGGGAAACGACAUCGAAAGCUUGCUUUUGAUGGGCGUCGACCGGCGUACGGGUGAGUAACGCGUAUCCAACCUGCCCAUCACUUGGGAAUAACCUUGCGAAAGUAAGACUAAUACCCAAUGACAUCCCACGAAGACAUCUGAAUGGGAUUAAAGAUUUAUCGGUGAUGGAUGGGGAUGCGUCUGAUUAGCUUGUUGGCGGGGUAACGGCCCACCAAGGCAACGAUCAGUAGGGGUUCUGAGAGGAAGGUCCCCCACAUUGGAACUGAGACACGGUCCAAACUCCUGCGGGAGGCAGCAGUGAGGAAUAUUGGUCAAUGGGCGAGAGCCUGAACCAGCCAAGUAGCGUGCAGGAUGACGGCCCUAUGGGUUGUAAACUGCUUUUAUAAGGGAAUAAAGUGGGUCUCGUGAGACUUUUUGCAUGUACCUUAUGAAUAAGGACCGGCUAAUUCCGUG